GGAGAAGGGUCCUAGCUCAGUGGUAGAGCAUCGCCUUGCACGCAGAAGGUCCUCGGUUCAAUCCCUAGCAUCUCCA